rnacentral:misc_RNA from 1 species
CUCAAAUCCUACACGAACCAAUUAGAUAACAACCCUUUCUACCACCCAACUGAUGGCUUCUACCUUACCCACUCAGACAUCAUCCUCCGCCAGAUUAUCAUCGACCUUUCUGGUACCUUCUCUUCUGGUGCUUCCCAGUUUGUCUACCAUCGGGCUGGCCCACGCCAGCAAAUCUUCUUUGAUCCAAGCAGCACUCGGGUAGCUAUUGUUACCUGUGGGGGACUCUGCCCUGGGAUGAAUACGGUGAUCAGGGAGCUGGUGGUUGGGCUGUGGGAACUAUAUGGGGUGCGUCAGAUAUAUGGGAUAGUUGCUGGGUACAGAGGAUUCUAUUCAAGAGAACCGACUGAGCUGAAUCCGAAGCUUGUCCAUGACUGGCAUAAGAAGGGUGGUACAGUUUUGGAGACCUCCAGGGGUGGCUUUGAUCUCCAUAAGAUUGUUGAUUCCAUUCAAAGUCGGGGCUUUAAUCAGGUCUAUAUCAUUGGUGGAGAUGGAACAUUGCGUGGGGCUGU